UACGUAGGUGGCAAGCGUUGUCCGGAUUUACUGGGCGUAAAGGGCGUGUAGGCGGUUUGCUAAGUCAUGUGUGAAAUCCCUCGGCUUAACCGGGGAACGACGCAUGAAACUGGCAAGCUAGAGUACCAAAGAGGGGGGUGGAAUUCCCGGUGUAGCGGUGAAAUGCGUAGAUAUUCGGAGGAACACCAGUGGCGAAGGCGGCUCACUGGUCCAUUACUGACGCUGAGGUGCGAAAGCGUGGGGAGCAAACAGG
rnacentral:rRNA from 1 species